AUAGCAUGAAGGUAAAACAUAUAAUUAUAUAGUUAAUAUAAAUAUCAAGGGUAAAUACAAUAAUAAUAUCUUAGUGUUUGAUUUAUUUGAUCUUUUAUUUUAAAGGCGAUUGUAUGCGUAUAUAAUUGACAGCAUUUAUUUAAAUAAUAAUCAUUAUAAAAAAAAAAAAAAAAAAAAAAAAAAAAAAAAAAAACCGACUAGAAAAUUCAAUAUAGAGAACCUAUUGUUACCGGUAUAUUUAUAACUAUUAUUAUAGUAAUAGUAAGUGAACGGCUGACUGCAUAAUGAACUCUGAUUGGUUGACAGCUGUUAAAAUCUCUAUAGCCAUGGACCGCUAUUUUGUUCCUACACUAAUUUUGGCUAUUGUCAUUAACAGUUCAAAGUUUAUCUCAACAAAAUAAACGUAAUUUAAUAUAAAAAUUAAUAUGUUUCGUCAAGAUAAUAAUGCAGUACAUUAAAAUAUAUUACUUGUAUAAUAAUAAUUAAUUAAACAAUCUAUGGAUCACUGCAGUACGAUUAUCCGCGAUGUAAAGCAAAUCCAGGGGCGUUGUAGUCGCAAUCAGUAACUUAGCAUAGAUGGGAAAUAAGAAAUAAUGCAACAUGGAUUUUAGCCCUGUUACAGAGUAUCUCACCGCUGCCACCAGAUGUCAGUCCAUUUGCUUUCUGUCGUGAAUAUAAUAUUACGGUCCAUUCAAGUAGGUUGUGAUAAGCCACUUUCUUAAAAUUAUAUUAUUAUUGUUAUUAUUAUUAUAGGUUCUCUACAUUAUAUACCUAUAUUAUAUAAUAUCGAAACAUAUAAUAAUAUUAUGGUUUGAUUUCGGUGUACGAAGAUGGGUAAAAAGAAAAAUACCAAAAGUUUUUUGAAAAAAAAAAAAAAAAAAAAUCGUUUUAAUUUGCAAUAAUUUUUACGCGAUAAAGUUUAAUUAUUAUUAUUAUUCGAUAAUUAAAGUAUUGUCAUUUUUGAUUGUAAACGAUAUAAUAUAUAAUUAGUUAAUAUAUAUGAAUACAAAAUAUAGCGCCGUAAUAAUAUUAUAUAAUCUAACAGGGAAAUAAAAUUAUGAAGUUUAAUUAUGAUUUCGAAAAAAAAAUGAUUAACCUCGCCCGUUAACCACGACGAUUUACAAUCAGCUGCUAUUUACGAUACAAACUAAUAGAUUCGGCAUUGGACACAUGUUUUUAAUCCAACAAACUUGAUACGACUGUUAAUCAAUAAUGUGAUAAAGUAAAUUGUAAUUACAAUUUAUCUAUACCGAAGAUAUAGGAACAAUAACAUUACUACGUCUCUCUUGCAUAAUUUUAACGUUAUUAAUCAACGAAAAUGUUUUUAUUGAGAGAGAAACAUUGGUUUUCUUUCCAUUAUAUGUAAGUUUGUAGGUACAUGUAUUAUAGGAGUGCCGCAUCCAUAUGUUUAAUAUCUAAAGUCUUAGAUUUUUAUAAGCAAUAUUAUUAUUUUAAGAAGUUAUGUAAAGGGUCAAACGUGAAAUAAUAUUGCACAUCACACGUUUUGUAAUAACGAUAACUCGCUGAAAUGUGCAAACAACGUUAAAAACAGCUUCGAUUUCACGAAGAAAAUCGUUUAAAAAUAUUAUUUUCUAUGUUACCUUUUACUAUUAGUAGUAUUACUAAAACGGAGUUUUUUUUAGAAGAUCCUAUAUUAGGUACAUUGGGUAAGAAUAUGUUCAGAUCAGGUUAUUAUAAAGGCGGUUUUAUGUCUACUAGACACCCAGUAAAGUAAGAUUAAUGUGUUCCUAUUAGACAGUGAAUGGUAAAUUAUUAAAUUAGUAGAUUUCGUACUAAAACUCUCAAGGUAUGGUAAUUAGAAGGUUUUUUCGAAUGAAGCCCUUAAGCGCAAAAUAUGACUCAAACGCGACCCAUAAGACAAAUUAAUUUUACUAAAAUAAAAAAAAAAGUUUAUUUUAUUAAGAUCAGAGUGAUUAUUAAUUGCAAUUUUACAGUUCUGAUAUAAAGAGUACCCUAAAAUUAAUCGUAGCGCACAUUAACUGAUAUAGGUUUAUAGAUAUUUGGUAUGAUUUAAAAGAUACUAAUGAUAAAGUCAGAUAUUCAGCUAUGUAGUUAUAGUUAUCCAAAAUCGUAUUUGAUGUGAGGUGAUAGUGUUUAUAUACUGUAUUAUUGUAUAUUAAAUGAUUAGAUAUCAAUCGUCAUUGUAAUUUAUCACGAUAAAAUACGAUGUAAUAAAAUUCAAUUUUAAAUGAACCCCAUCACUGUUGUUUUUGAAAUAGAAAAACACAGUCAGUACUUAUAUUUAUUGAAAACAAAAUAUAAUGAGCGAACAAUUUUAAAUUGAAACUUAUAAUGGAACGGGUACGAUGUUUUAUCAAUUAAUACAAUUAUUUAUUUUUGCGCCUUUAUCCCACUACUAAAAAAUAAAAACUCAAAUGGAUUUUGCGCUUUUGGGCUUUCGCAGAACAACAGACGAUUUGCAAUUUUGGGUAUCAUCAUCAGUUUUUUCUAAAUUCUGGUGCGAGAUUUUUUUUAUUAGGGAGAAGAAGUAGACACGCAGUAGAUAUUCACUAAAAAAAUGCUCAGAUUCAUAUAAUAAAAGAGACGGGUGAUAUUGUACAUUUCUAAUUGUUUUAUAAAUUAGUUCGAUACUUUAUAUCUAGUUAUCCAACAGGCAUAAUAUAGAUACAUCUGUACAAUAUAGAUAUAUCUACAGCAGAAUAUUUAGAAGAAUAAUGAGUGCCGAAUAAAAUUAUCGCCCGUUUUUGAAUACGUAUUUUAUAAUCAACAGUCGAGCAAAGAACCCGCGGAGCUCGACGGGUUUAUACGAAUUGACCUGUAACCUAUUCUCGUUUAUGUUCGGGACGCAUAAAAAAUAUAAGACCUUUAAUAUUAUUUGUGACUGCACUUAAAAUCGAAAUUUGAGUCAAUUUGAUAUUCAUUUUCGAUUACCAAUCAUAUAAAACCGUUUAUAAUAAAUAUAUCAAGACAUCGAGUAAACACGAAUAAAGUAACGGCUAUGUAAUUCUGUUAAAACUAACCGUUUAAGUAUGUUUAAAAUAUGUUAGUAUAUUCAAAAUAAUUUAAUAAGAAAAAAUGUAUACUACAAUUUAUUUACAAGUGAAAAUUUACACAUACACACACAACGACACUAUUUCAGUUGAAAACGAGGGGUCAUCAUAUUUCAUUUUGGUGAAAUAUAAGUGAAGUUUUAAAUCGUUCAGGAUAAUUUAAACGCGUAUCGAUAUUUUAAAUUUUCAAAAACCUUGAAUAUUUUAUCAUUGCUAUGCCUGUUGUAUUUGGCAGUCAGCCGGUCUCCAGCAUUCAAUAUGUUAUGUAAAACUACGUCGGACAGGCAAAAAAGGAACAAUGGUUUGAUUUCUUUUGUUGAGUUUUGUUUUUCUGUCAUCAUGGGACAAGAACUUCCUGAGGUCCUUAAUUAAAAUCGAUACGUUUCUGAAGUUGUUUGUAUUCUAUAGAAAGGGAAAUUGUUUGAUUAAUAUAUUAAUAAUAAGAUGGAGUGUCUGUGUAGAUUUUCCUAAUUUACUUUGGUUUUUAUAAUUUGUUACCUUGCCAUCCUGAAGAAUCCGUUAUCAUUAAUAUUCUACUUAAAAUACUUAUAGGUUUUUUCAUCCAAACACAUAUCAUAUGCUCUUGAAAUUAACAGUAUAUAUCUGUUAUUAUUAUCUCAUCUUGUUUUGGUGGUUUUUUUUAUUGUUAUCGUUUUUUUCAACGUUAUCUUUUUCUGACCGGAAAUCGACGAAGAAGACGGGGAUCUUGCGUUUUGUUCAUUGUUAAGGUGGUCGUUGAGCUGUUCCUAUUAUAAUAUUAUUUUGUCUUUCUCGCGGAACAAUAUAAUAACGUUAGGUGGGUAGCGAUGCAAAGUUUUAGGUUCAUCCAGGACUUUUGGGCGACCAAACAUAAACUCUGGACGAUUCACUGUUGCCGCCAUUGUUGCUGGAGCAGGAUGAAAACUUAAGGAGGAGACCAAAAGCGUUUGUUGGUUAAGUAUCUACCUAGCUCUUUCAUUGUUAUACAAACUCGAUAAGAUCGUCCGACCGAACCGUUUAAUUAAUGUACAUGGUUCUUUGCGCGUCUUUCAAAUUUCAUCAGACCCCUUCGUCUACACAUAAUAAUGAUAUUAUUAUAAUCGUGGAAAUCAAACUCGAUUCGUUUUCUAAAUCAACGAUUCUAAUUAGAAUUUUACCACAGAUAUGAAUAAGAGAAAUUUUGCGAGGAUGGAAACAUAGUCAGUCUCCGUAGACGGAAAUUGAGAGAGAGACCAUAAACUCCUGAAUUUUUACUUUUUACCAUGCUUUUGGCCCGUGUAACAAAAAUUGUAUAAUGCUUCUCUCUCAAAAAAAUUUCUGAAUUUGGUUAGGCGUAGGUAAACUUUUAUACAUAAAUUAAGCACUUAAGCACCCACAAUUAUGUUUUGUUCGCAAGUAUCUUAUUUUACUUAUAUGUAUUUGAAUUCGUGACGAGGGUUAUAUUAUUAUACUAAGUUCCCAUUGGUUUUCGACUCUGUUUUUGAUAAAAAAAAGUUUACGAAAUGAUGGCCCCACUUCUCCGACUAUGUUAUAGCCACGGCUGGAUUUACGAUGAUAAAAUUUUCAUUUUUUUGGGGUCUGCACGUCGCAAACAUUUAAAAUUUCACGAGAAAACCAAAAAUGAAAACGUACGUAAUGGCGUGCAGUCGGUGCGUCUAUUUGUGUGUAUAUGUGUAU